rnacentral:rRNA from 1 species
UAACGGCGAGUGAAGCGGUAACAGCUCAAAUUUGAAAUCUGGCCUCACGGUCCGAGUUGUAAUUUGUAGAGGAUGCUUCGAGCAUGGUCUGGCCUAAGUUCCUUGGAACAGGACGUCAUAGAGGGUGAGAAUCCCGUAUGCGGCCAGGUGCCUACGCUCAUGUGAAGCUCCUUCGACGAGUCGAGUUGUUUGGGAAUGCAGCUCAAAAUGGGUGGUAAAUUUCAUCUAAAGCUAAAUAUUGGCCAGAGACCGAUAGCGCACAAGUAGAGUGAUCGAAAGAUGAAAAGCACUUUGGAAAGAGAGUUAAACAGUACGUGAAAUUGUUGAAAGGGAAGCGCUUGCAACCAGACUUGCGCGCGGCUGAUCAUCCGGUGUUCUCACCGGUGCACUCGGCCGUGCUCAGGCCAGCAUCGGUUUUGGCGGCUGGAUAAAGGCCCUAGGAAUGUGGCUCCUCUCGGGGAGUGUUAUAGCCUAGGGUGCAAUGCAGCCUGCUGGGACCGAGGACCGCGCUUCGGCUAGGAUGCUGGCGUAAUGGUUGUAAGCGGCCCGUCUUGAAACACGGACCAAGGAGUCUAACAUCUAUGCGAGUGUUUGGGUGUCAAACCCAUACGCGUAAUGAAAGUGAACGGAGGUGAGAACCCUUAAGGGUGCAUCAUCGACCGAUCCUGAUGUCUUCGGAAGGAUUUGAGUAAGAGCAUAGCUGUUGGGACCC